GAUGAACGCUGGCGGCGUGCCUAAUACAUGCAAGUCGAGCGAACAGACGAGGGGCUUGCUCCUCUGACGUUAGCGGCGGACGGGUGAGUAACACGUGGAUAACCUACCUAUAAGACUGGGAUAACUUCGGGAAACCGGAGCUAAUACCGGAUAAUAUAUUGAACCGCAUGGUUCAAUAGUGAAAGACGGUUUUGCUGUCACGUAUAGAUGGAUCCCCGCCGCAUUAGCUAGUUGGUAAGGUAACGGCUUACCAAGGCAACGAUGCGUAGCCGACCUGAGAGGGUGAUAGGCCACAUUGGAGCUGGGACACGGUCCAGGCUCCUACGGGAGGCAGCAGUAGGGAAUCUUCCGCAAUGGGCGAAAGCCUGACGGAGCAACGCCGCGUGAGUGAUGAAGGUCUUCCGAUCGUAAAACUCUGUUAUUAGGGAAGAACAAAUGUGUAAGUAACUAUGCACGUCUUGACGGUACCUAAUCAGAAAGCCACGGCUAACUACGUG
rnacentral:rRNA from 1 species